AGAGACAGAGCAAGUAAAAUAUUACGCUACAGUGCUACUGGCCCAUAAUCAGGCAACUGCAGAGUCUUAGGGGGUUAUCUAAUGUAGUCUUGGGGUGGCUGGAUAGACUUCCCAAAGAAGGUGAUGCCGAAGCUGAGGUCGGAAAUUACGAAGAUCAGCUAUCAAACUUGGAAAUCAUGUCUUAGAGAUCAAGGAGCCAAGAGAUGAGACAAGCCUGGGUUCCUAGGUGAUAGGGUGUGGCUGUGUCCCCACCCAAAUCUCGUCUUGAAUUGUAGCUCCCAUAAUCCCCACAUGUUGUGGAGGGACCCUGUGGAAGAUCUUUAAUAAAUGAAAUAAAUGUGACUGUAUGUCCUACAUCCCAUUCCUGUUGUCUUCCAUGUCUCCUCAGAGCAUCUACUUGUUUCCAAAGUUAUUUGGGUCAGCAUUUUCCUCCACCCACCACUUAAAACUGAUUUGUUUCAUACAUUUGAAAUGUAUGAAAAGCCAGAAAUCCAGGACCCACCCUGGCCUGCUCCCUUUUUCUCACCUACUGUGUUAAGGAUAAGUCAAUUGAGCUUCACUUCUCUAAUUGAAAUCACCGUGCUGAUGGAGUCUGUCUGUGGAAAUGAAAGGUGGCUACCAUAAUCUGUUGGGAGUUGAAUUAAUCCUCUGGGAGUGAGGCUGACCUAAUUACUCAGAAAUACUGGGCUUGCUUUCAUUCUGUGGAAUACAGCCAUGAGAAAGAGGCCAGCAUGCCAUUUCCUAAUCUUUUCUUGAAUUGCCUGAAACUCACCUAACAUGAAACUGAGAAGCCUUUUCAUUUGAAAGUGGUAUUUCUUAUGUUUUUUAUCUUUUUGCUUGAAAGUAUUCUUAAACUAAAGAAAGGAGAAACAGAAAAGGUGAAGAAGCCAAGAGGCUGGAGUUUCCUUUUGAAUGGAUAUUCAUCCAUGAAGCUGUUGAUUCUGUUUUUCUGUUCCUCCAGAUGUCUACACUUUUACCUCUGCUUGCCUGAUACAACCACCACCAGUCACCUCACAGAAUAACUCACUCCUUAAGAAUCUGAUCAGGAAUCAGCCUUCCCUGAUCACAAACACUGAGUUUAGAAGUCCCUCCACAGUGUCCCCCGUAACCCUGUGCUACCUCACUGCCUCAUAGUUUAGUGCCGUUUGUGUACAUGCCUAUCUUCGUCCAUGGAUCCAGAACAACUUGUAAAAAUGACUGUACUUAUCACCUUCAGUAUUCAAUGACUAAACUAUAAUUUUAACAUAUCUGGCAGAAUGAAUCACUUGGGGAUUUCUGCCAACACUACCAAUAUAUUACUCCUAAUUUGUAAUUAUUACUUAGCAUGGAUUAUAGUACCGGCUGUUGGAGAGCCAAUGUGGCAGACCCUAAGUGGAAUAAAAUGUCAGUAGCAGUCUAGGAGCAUAUAUUUAUUGGAAUAGAUCAUUCAUUCAUUUGUUCAUUAACUAAUUUGUUCAUUAAAUAAACAUUUAUUAAGCACUCAUGGU
rnacentral:lncRNA from 1 species